rnacentral:rRNA from 1 species
ACGGGUGAGUAAUGCUUGGGAACUUGCCUUUGCGAGGGGGAUAACAGUUGGAAACGACUGCUAAUACCGCAUAAUGUCUUCGGACCAAACGGGGCUUCGGCUCCGGCGCAAAGAGAGGCCCAAGUGAGAUUAGCUAGUUGGUAAGGUAACGGCUUACCAAGGCGACGAUCUCUAGCUGUUCUGAGAGGAAGAUCAGCCACACUGGGACUGAGACACGGCCCAGAUUCUUACCGGGAGGCAAACGCUGUGGGGAAUAUUUGCACCAAUUGGGGGGGAAACCCCUGAAUGCAGCCCAUGCCGCGUGUUUGAAGAAAGGCCUUUCGGGUUGUAAAAGCACCUUUCAGUUGUGAAGGAAAAGUUAGUAGUUAAUACCUGCUAGCCGUGAACGUUAACAAACAGAAAGAAGCACCGGGCUUAACUCCCGUGCCCAGCCAGCCCGCCGGUAAAUACGGAGGGUGCGAGCGUUAAUCGGAAUUACUGGGCGUAAAGCGCACGCAGGGCGGUUUGUUAAGCUAGAUGUGAAAGCCCCGGGCUCAACCUGGGAUGGUCAUUUAGAAGCUGGCAGACCUAGAGUCUUGGAGAGGGGAGUGGAAUUCCAGGUGUAGCGGUGAAAUGCGUAGAUAUCUGGAGGAACAUCAGUGGCGAAGGCGACUCCCUGGCCAAAGCAUCUGACCGCUCAAUUGUGCGAAAGUUUGUGGGUAACGCGAACACAGGAUUAGAUUACCCCUUGGUAGUCCACACCGCCAUAAGACGCGGUAGUCUACUAGCUGUGUGGGUGUCUUUAAGAACGUGGCGUAGGGCGAAGCUAAACGCGCUAAGUAGGACCCGCCGUGGGGAGUAACGGCCGCAAGGUUUAAAACUCAAAUGAAUUGACGGGGGGCCCGCACAAGACGGUGGGAGGCAUGUGGGUUUAAUUUCGAUUGCAACCGCGAAGAACCUUACCUUACACUUGACAUGCUGAGAAGUUACUAGAGAUAGUUUCGGAGCCUUCGGGAACUCAGACUACAGGUUGCAUGCAUGGCUGUCGUCAGCUCGUGUCGUGAGGAUGUUGGGUUAAGUCCCGCAAACGAGCGCAACCCUUGUCCUUAGUUGCCAGCCUUAAGUUGGGCACUCUAAGGAGACUGCCGGUGACAAACCGGAGGAAGGUGGGGACGACGUCAAGUCAUCAUGGCCCUUACGUGUAGGGCUACACACGUGCUCACAAUGGCAUUUACAGAGGGAAGCGAGACAUUGAUGUGGAGCGGACCCCUUAAAGAAUGUCGUAGUCCGGAUUGGAGUCUGCAACUCGACUCCAUGAAGUCGGAAUCGCUAGUAAUGGGGGGUCAGAAUACUGCGGUGAAUACGUUCCCGGGCCUUGUACACACCGCCCGUCACACCAUGGGAGUGGGAUGCAAAAGAAGUAGUUAGUCUAACCUUCGGGAGGACGAUUACCACUUUGUGUUUCAUGACUGGGGUGAAGUCUUAACAAGGUAACC